rnacentral:tRNA from 1 species
GCCCCUGUAGUUCAAUGGAUAGAACGUCGGUUUCCUAAACCGUAGAUUCGGGUUCGAUUCCCGGCGGGGGUA